GUACGAUGGAGUGUUCGAGGACGAGCACAAUAUAAAUGCUUCCUCUCUGCUAGUUCUUCUGCAAGUUCACUUUGAUGAUUGUCCAUCAGAUCUUCAUUCACCACUACAAUUAGAGGUUUUCCAAGCCGCAAAGUCUCAAAUAUACUCCCUGACCCUAUAUCAUGAUCAGAACCAGUUAAUGCUCCUUUUGCUAUCCAAAGUAAAGCUACCAGCAGUGAUCCAUCAAAUAUCCAAAAGGAAGCUGCCAAGUACAGUACCUGCAAAA